rnacentral:rRNA from 1 species
AUUGAACGCUGGCGGCAGGCCUAACACAUGCAAGUCGAGCGAGUGGCGGACGGGUGAGUAAUGUCUGGGGAACUGCCUGAUAGAGGGGGAUAACUACUGGAAACGGUGGCUAAUACCGCAUACUAUCGGAUGUACCCAGAUGGGAUUAGCUAGUGGGUGGGGUAAAGGCUCACCUAGGCGACGAUCCCUAGCUGGUCUGAGAGGAUGACCAGCCACACUGGAACUGCGACACGGCCCAGACUCCUACGGGAGGCAGCAGUGGGGAAUAUUGCACAAUGGGCGCAAGCCUGAUGCAGCCAUGCCGCGUGUAUGAAGAAGGCCUUAGGGUUGUAAAGUACUUUCAGCGGGGAGGCGUUACCCGCAGAAGAAGCACCGGCUAACUCCGUGCCAGCAGCCGCGGUAAUAC